UUUCUUUUCCAUGUUCUUCCACUUUCUCUUUCCUCUCACCAAAUCUCAUCUACUGAUUUUUCACGACGAUCUCAAGCAAGAGGAUCUUUUGGAUUUUAAGCAACCCACUCUCCAUUUUCAGCUAGCAAUCGUCUCGCAAAUAUAGGGGGUUUUAUUCCCUUUCUGAAGUAAAAUUUUUAAUUUGUGCUUAUCAACUUUGCUAAUGGAUGUUUGGAAAAUUCGUGUUCUUACAAAUCAAAGACAUGGGUGUUUGGAACUUCAUCUGGUUCAUGUUUAUCUAAAUUUUUUUUAAUUUCUUAACACGAAAAAAAAAAUCCUUAAAAAUGUUUCAGCUUGGUCAUAGUUGCCGGGAGGGAGAGAACAUAAAAUUCUCUUCUCUUGUUAAAUUUUCUGUACCAAAAUUCUUUGCCUUAGUUUGAUGUGAAUGCAUGUUUUAUCUCCUUUCUUUGUUGUUCAUGUUUCCUUUAUCUCCAUGUCCUGGAAUUGAACAUCACCAUUUUAUCUAAACCAUUUAUACGUUCCUAAGAUUGGGAAUUUGGGAUGUUAUUUUCUAAUCGUGAAUUUGAUAAAUUUUGUCUAUACACUUUCUCCAAGUUCUCCCUGUUUUGAUAACCUUUUACUCAACAAUGAAAUUUUGUUUGAAAUCUUACAUUUACACUGUCCUCAUUUCUAUCAUAUUGUGCAGUGUGUAAUUUCAAAUGUUUAGAUAAUUUUGUGAAGAUUAAAAAUGUUACACAAAAUCUGUUUUCCAUCAUAUAUGAAGUUUUGAAUUGAUUCCUUUAAAGCUACCCAGUACCUGUUUGCUAAAAUGUCCCAAUGAGAUUACAUUUUCGAAACAUUGAAUGAGGUUUAAUUCAUGAACAUAUUUAUCUUGGUUUCCUGUUUUAAACAUCGAAAUUGAUUUUUAGUCAUUAGAAAUGAUUUACAACCAAACAUCCCUUUCAACUUUAUCCCCUUUUCCUUGUUACUCAUUUUGGACGCUGCUCACACUUCCUUAAAUCUUAUUUUUUAUGAUUUCUGUGUAGGAAAUGAAACUUGGCUGAGCAUAUGGCUUGAUAACUUGCUUAACGACAAGUUAGUUUCACUUUGUAAUGGAAUUUAUCUUUGAUUCCCUUGCACCAGCUUGAGUGUUUUUCUCAUGCUAUUUCACUGACAACUCCCCUCUCUCGGCAAUUAGGACUGGUUUCUUUCUUUCUAUUCAAAUGCAAGAUUUUCCCUUGUUCAUUUCAGACUUGUAACAAGUGUUUUUCUCCCUUAAAUAUCUGCUUGGUUGCAGCUUACUAGCUUACCGUAGCAUAUGAAUUGGUGUAUUUUCUGUUUGAACAAAGGUGUUAUAAAAAAAAAUUGAAUUUUUCUUAUGGGACUGACUUCUUGGUAAGGUUGAAAAUGCCGCUCUCAAGCUUGUGUUGGUUAAUCAUUUGUUUUUGGAGCUAUAGUCUUGUAUCGAAAUGUAUGUGCGGAUUUAUGUUUAAUCAUUUGAGCACGAUGGGAAGAUGACUCUACUCUAGGAACGUCGGGCCUAAGUGGCACCCCACCACCUCGGUGGCAAUCUGGAAGAUCGUUGCGGCAACGAUGGCUGGUAACAAGAACUACCCUGACGGUGACAUUGGCCAUGAAAAUAGUAGAAGAUAGGAACUGGCUUGGUGAACUAAGCUGCGAAAGCUAGGGACGCAAAGGUGGUAUUUACUUUGUUGUCCUUAUAUAUAUAUACAUGUCAUGGCAUAAAUAGAAAGCGGGUAUUGGGAGUGGUUUGGAAUGGUCUUCGGUUUGCUUGGUUUGAUUCUGUGUCAUUUUUGUUGCACUUUGAUGUUAUAUAUAUGUUAGCUUCUACCGGAUCUUUACAUGGUUUGAAUUGAAGCUAGCCAGUUUCGUGUACGAUGGGUCUGGUCUCGGGCUAUACAGACUAGUUAUUGAAUUCAUUUUGUUAUCUAGAUGGUCUUGGCUUUUGGCUUUACCGACUACAUUUUUUUCCAUUGUUUCAUUUUGGCAUUUGUUUAAUCUAAAGAUUAGAUCUGUACAGUGAACUUCUAAGUGUAAUUAUAUAGCUACUUAGAUUCAUUUUCCUAUAAAUCAUUAUUUGCUACGGACUUGUACCCAGUAUAUAGCUUGUAUGAAUCCAUUCAUCUACUCUUGUGAAUCUAAGCACGUACUUUGUUUCAUGCUUCUUUUAUGAUGUUGUUUACCGUACUUGCUCCUUAAAUGCUUGAUACACGCUAUCUAGUCUUGCUAGCACCCUUACUCCUUGUGUAUUUCUGCUGAUCACACGUUAACAUCUAGGAAGUAUUCCAAAUUCUUGUUUGAAAAACCCAAAACUAAUUAGGAGUAAAAUUGUUUUGGUUUUCAAACUGGUGCAUCGUCAAACCGAUACGUACUGGAAGGUCCUGUUUUUGUUUAUCACUAUCUGUUGGAUUUGUUCGGACAAGCAUUACACAUUUUUCCCACUGUAUAAACUAUUUUCUUGUUGUAUAAAUUAUUUCGUUUAUUUUCUUUUAUAACAGUUUUCAUUUUCAUUUCCGAGUAGCGUGACUGGGGUUUGGCCUUGCUGGACGGGUUGAAAUUCAACCCGUUGGAGGGAAAUUUUACCGGUCCGCUACAGUAAGGGACAACCAGUUGGAGUCUAAUGAGAAUUUCUAAAAACACCCAAACUAAUAGCCCUAGUUAGGUUGAACUCAGUUGUUUCAGAUAACAUUUCAUUUCUUUUAUUCAGCUGCAAAUGGGGUGAACUGCUGGUGAUUUUGGGUUCAAGUUUGAGAAGAUGAUUCCGAUGUUCAAGAAGGCAAAGAAAGGAUCGGUUUAGACUGAAUUUGAUGUUGCUAUUAAGGAGAGUAUGAUUGUUGCUUCUGGGAUUUGAAUUGCAGGGAAAUGGGUUUGCUGAUUUAAGGUUUUGGUUUGACUCCGAAUCUAUGUUGCAAUCGAAGCGAGAGAAGAUGAGAUGGGUUCGUGUGUGAGUAAAAUAUCAGUAAGACAUGGUGAUCGAGAAGAUAAGGUUUGAAUUUGUUGAAGAUUUGGGUUAUUGUGGAACUGAUGGAGGAAUUGGUUUGCUAUUGUUGAUGAAGAUGAGUUCACUGUCGUGGCUACUGGUGAAUAAAAGACAUGAUUCGGGUGGUGCUGGUGGUGUAUGGAACAGACGCAGUCAGUUAGAGAGCAAGUUGGCCGGAGAUGGUGGUGUGUUGUGAAGCUACAGGUUGUUGUUGCAGCUAGAGGAGUUAGGCUGUGUUGCAGUGGGUUGUCUGCUAGCUGGUGGUUUGAAGUUGUAAUUGCUGAGAAAUGGAGUUGGUUCUGAGAUGUUUGAAUGGUUGCAGCUGGAAUCGAAUUACAAGGGAGAAUGGAGCUCGCUGCCUGAUGGAUGAGUUAUAAUGAGCGUGCUACUGUUGCUGUGAUGCUGUUGAGAUGGAUGUGGAAUUUAGAAGUUGGUGUUUGUUGUUGUUGGAGCUGCUUACUGCAAUGGGACAUUCUGAGGAGCAAGAAGUGGUGUUUCUUUUGAAUGGGGAUAAAGCUUCUAGUGAGUUAUGAAGAUGGUGAUGAACAAAGAAGACCUGGGUAUUGAUUUGGUGUUGCAGUUAGGUUACAGGGAUAUGAAGUUGAGGUCAAAUUCAGAGACGAGAAGGUUUUGAUGGUGGUCUUCAGUUUUGAAAUGAGAAGAAUAGAUGAUGUAGCUGCAACUGGUUACUGCUAAUGGGUUUGCCCUGGUUUUAUCCGAGAUUUGGUUGGGUACUCAACCGCGAAGAAGAAUGAAGAUGAGCUGCAGAAGUUCUGAUGUUGUUAAGGAAGUGCAGUUACAAGUGAUGCUGUCAGGUUGAGCUGAGGCUGUGAAAGGGAGAAGCUGAAUUGUGUCGUAGCUCUAUGGGUCUAUUAUGCAUGAAUUUGUGACUGUAAUGAACCAGGUAAGUUAUCAGUUCCAGAGAACUGUCAAGCCAGAGUCUAGAUGGACCUGGUUUUCUUCUGGGCUCAAGGAAGUGGUCGCAUUGGGCCAAUUCACAGGCGUGUUGGUCUAUUCCUAAAUUGAGACGGCAGAAAAGAGAAGGCUUUCUAAGCAUUCACAAAACAACAUAUAUUUGCUCGAAUUUUACUCUAGGGUUUGAACAUGAUAGAUUUUCUCUUUUUUCUUGUGAUAAAAUCCAUUAUGUUUACCUAGUUUUAUUUUGGUUAAGGAUUAAGUUUGAAUUCCAACCAUGAUUUUUGUGCAAUGAAUUAGUUUUGUCUCCGUA